GGUUUGAUUAUGGCUCAGAUUGAACGCUGGCGGGAUGCUUCACAUGCAAGUCGGGCAGCGGCACGGACUUCCGGUCUGGUGGCGAGUGGCGAACAGACGAGUAAUGUAUCAGGACGUGCCUAGUAGCGGGGGAUAACUACGCGAAAGCGUAGCUAAUACCGUACGCCCUUCGGGGGAAAGCGGGGGACCUUCGGGCCUCGCACUAUUAGAGCGGCCGAUAUCGGAUUAGCUGGUUGGUGGGAGUAACGGCUCACCAAGGCGACGAUCCGUAGCUGGUUUGAGAGGACGACCAGCUACACUGGGACUGGGACACAGCCCGAACUCUACGGGGAGGCAGCAGUGGGGAAUUUGGACAAUGGGGAAACCCUGAUCCAGCCAUCCCGCGUGUGCGAUGAAGGCCUUCCGGGUUGUAAAAGCACUUUUGGCAGGAAAGAAGCAGCACGGGAUAAUACCCCGUGCAGCUGACGGUACUUAUACCCAGAAUAUACCGGCUAACUACGUGCCAGCGGCCGCGGUAAUACGUAGGGUGCAAGCGUUAAUCAGAAUUACUGGGCGUAAAGAAGAUGCGGGCGGUUCCGGAAAGAAAGAUGUGAAAUCCAGAGCUUAACUUUGGAACUGCAUUUUUAACACUACUGUGACUAGAGUGUGUCAGGGGAGGUGGAAUUCCGCGUGUGGCAGUGAAAUGCGUAGAUAUGGAGAACACCUGAUGGCGACAACCUCCUGGGAUAACACUGACGCUCAUACGCGAAAGUGGGGAGCAAACAGGAUUAGAUACCCUGGUAGUCCACGCCUAAACGAUGUCAACUAUUAUUCCGAGGACACCCGGGCCUUGGUAGCGCAACUAACGCGUGAAGUUGACCGCCUGGGAAAUACGGUCGCAAGAUUAAAACUCAAAGGAAUUGACGGGGACCCGCACAAAGCCGAACCAGAUGAUGGAUUAAUUCGAUACAACGCAAAGAAAACCUUACUACAUGACAUGUCUAGAAUCCCGAAGAGAUUUGGGAGUGCUCGCAAGAGAACCGGAACACAGGUGCUGCAUGGCUGUCGUCGGCUCGUGUCGUGAGAUGUUGGGUUAAGUCCCGCAACAGGCGCAACCCUUGUGCAUUAGUUGCUACGAAGGGCACUCUAAUGAGACUGCCGGUGACAAACCGGAGGAAGGUGGGGAUGACGUCAAGCCCUCAUGGCCCCUUAUGGUGGGGGCUUCACACGUCAUACAAUGGUCGGGACAAGAGGUGCCGCCCGCGAGGGGGGAGCCAAUCCCAGAAACCGAUCGUAGUCCGGAUCACAGUCUGCAACUCGGCUGCGUGAAGUCAGGUGCUUGUCCGCGGAUCAAUAUGUCGCAGGUGAAUACGUUCCCGGGUCUUGUACACCCUCGCCCGUCACACCAUGGGAGUGGGUUUUACCAAAUGUUCGCUAACCGUAAGGAGGCGAUUUACCACGGUAGGAUUCAUGACUGGGGUGAUGUGGCGCAAAGU
rnacentral:rRNA from 1 species